UGCCCUCCACUCUGGGAUAAGCCCGGGAAACUGGGUCUAAUACCGGAUAGGACCACUGAUCGCAUGGUUGGUGGUGGAAAGUUUUUUCGGUGGGGGAUGGGCCCGCGGCCUAUCAGCUUGUUGGUGGGGUGAUGGCCUACCAAGGCGGUGACGGGUAGCCGGCCUGAGAGGGCGACCGGCCACACUGGGACUGAGACACGGCCCAGACUCCUACGGGAGGCAGCAGUGGGGAAUAUUGCGCAAUGGGCGGAAGCCUGACGCAACGACCCCGCGUGGGGGAUGACGGCCUUCGGGUUGUAAACCUCUUUCGCCAGGGACGAAGAGCAAUUGACGGUACCUGGAGAAGAAGCACCGGCCAACUACGUGCCAGCAGCCGCGGUAACACGUAGGGUGCGAGCGUUGUCCGGAAUUAUUGGGCGUAAAGAGCUCGUAGGCGGUGUGUCGCGUCGGCCGUGAAAACUUGGGGCUUAACUCUGAGCGUGCGGUCGAUACGGGCAUCACUUGAGUUCGGCAGGGGAGACUGGAAUUCCUGGUGUAGCGGUGAAAUGCGCAGAUAUCAUGAGGAACACCGGUGGCGAAUGCGGGUCUCUGGGCCGAUACUGACGCUGAGGAGCGAAAGCGUGGGGAGCGAACAGGAUUAGAUACCCUGAUAGUCCACGCCGUAAACGUUGUGCGCUAGGUGUGGGGACCAUUCCACGGUUUCUGUGCCGCAGCUAACGCAUUUAACCGCCCCCGCCUGGGGAGUACGGCCGCAAGGCUAAUAACUCAUAGGGAAUUGACAGGGGGCCCGCACAAGCUGGACGGGAACAUGUGGAUUAAUUCGCAUGCAACGCGGAAGAACUCUUUACCUUGGGUUUUGACAUGCACCAGACAUCCUCUUACAGGAUAGGUGCUUCUCCUUGCUGGCUUGGUCGUGCAAAGUUNNNGCAUGCCUGUCGGUCAGCAUCGAUGUCGAUGAGAUNNNCGGUUAGUCCCUGNNNCGAGC
rnacentral:rRNA from 1 species